rnacentral:rRNA from 1 species
CCCUUAGAUGUCCGGGGCUGCACGCGCGCUACACUGAAGGAAUCAGCGUGCUAAAACCAUUGUCGAAAGGCAUUGGUAAACCCAUUAAAAUCCUACGUGAUUGGGAUCGGGAAUUGCAAUUAUUUCCCUUGAACGAGGAAUUCCCAGUAAGUGUGGGUCAUAAGCUCGCGUUGAUUACGUCCCUGCCCUUUGUACACACCGCCCGUCGCUGCCCGGGACUGAGCCGUUUCGAGAAAAGCGGGAACUGCUGCUGUCGGGGCUUUCGGGCCUUGGCUUCGGUGGAAACCGCUUUAAUCGCAGUGGCUUGAACCGGGCAAAAGUCGUAACA